UAAGUCAGAGGUGAAAGGUUGCAGCUCAACUGUAGAAUUGCCUUUGAUACUGGAGCUCUUGAGUUAUGUUGCUGUGGCCGGAACAUGUGGUGUAGCGGUGAAAUGCAUAGAUAUCACAUAGAACACCGAUUGCGAAGGCAGGUCACAAAGCAUACACUGACACUGAGGGACGAAAGCGUGGGGAGCGAACGGGAUUAGAUACCCCGGUAGUCCACGCCGUAAACGAUGGAUACUAGCUGUUGGGUUUUCGGACUCGGCGGCCAAGCGAAAGUGAUAAGUAUCCCACCUGGGGAGUACGUUCGCAAGAAUGAAACUCAAAGGAAUUGACGGGGGCCCGCACAAGCGGUGGAGCAUGUGGUUUAAUUCGAUGAUACGCGAGGAACCUUACCAGGGCUUAAAUGGGAGAUGACCGGGUCAGAGACGACCCUUUCUUCGGACAUCUUUCAAGGUGCUGCAUGGUUGUCGUCAGCUCGUGCCGUGAGGUGUCAGGUUAAGUCCUAUAACGAGCGCAACGCCUGCCGUUAGUUGCCAGCGAGUCAAGUCGGGGACUCUAACGGGACUGCCGGUGCAAACCGUGAGGAAGGUGGGGACGACGUCAAAUCAUCACGGCCCUUACGUCCUGGGCUACACACGUGCUACAAUGGUCGGUACAAUGGGAAGCCACCCCGUGAGGGGGCGCGGAUCUUGAAAGCCGAUCACAGUUCGGAUCGGGGUCUGC
rnacentral:rRNA from 1 species